UGGUUCUGGCAUCGAUGAAGAACGCAGCGAAAUGCGAUAAGUAAUGUGAAUUGCAGAAUUCAGUGAAUCAUCGAAUCUUUGAACGCACAUUGCGCCCCUUGGUAUUCUGGGGGGCAUGCCUGUUCGAGCGUCAUUAUAACCCUCAAGCCUAGCUUGGUGUUGGAGCCUGCCACUAGGUAGCUCUUAAAAUCAGUGGCGGCGCCGUCUGGCUCUAAGCGUAGUAAUUUUUCUCGCUAUAGGGCUUAGGCGAUUGCUUGCUAAUAACCCUAAAUUUCUAUGGUUGACCUCGGAUCAGGUAGGGAUACCCGCUGA
rnacentral:misc_RNA from 1 species